rnacentral:rRNA from 1 species
CACAUAGUUAGCCGGAGCUUCCUCCUUAGGUACUGUCUUUUAUCUUCCCUAACGACAAUAGUUUACAAUCCGAAAACCUUCUUCCUAUACGCGGCGUCACUGCGUCAGAGUUUCCUCCAUUGCGCAAUAUUCCCGACUGCUGCCUCCCGUAGGAGUCUAGGCCGUAUCUCAGUCCCAAUGUGGCCGUUCAACCUCUCAGUCCGGCUACUGAUCGUCGCCUUGGUAGGCCGUUACCCCACCAACUAGCUAAUCAGACGCAAGCCCAUCUAUUAGUGGAUUGCUCCUUUCCUCACUGUAUCAUGUGAUACUGUGAGCAUAUGCGGUAUUAGCAAUGAUUUCUCACUGUUAUUCCCCUCUAAUAGGCAGGUUGCUUACGGUGUUUACUCACCAGUCCCGCCACUAACCGCUACCCAAUGUAAAACAAAGGGUUAAUUCGUUCGACUUGCAUGUCUUAUGUGCCGCCGCCAGUCGUUUUAUCCUAGGAGUCCCAGGAUCCAAACUUCCUCUGUAACG